rnacentral:ncRNA from 2 species
AGAAACAAUAUAGAAACAUUUCGUAUAACUCCAAUGAUAUGGAUUGGAGGUCUCUACCAGGAACCAAUAAAUCCUGAUUACGAAGAAGGUACAUGAAUUU